GUGUAUGUGUGUGUGCAUUUAAAUAUUAAGUUCACUGUGAAAAUAGCAGCGCUUAAAGAGUUACUUUUGAAUUCCAUGUUUCUAUGGAAAAUACGCC